rnacentral:rRNA from 1 species
UGGGGAAUAUUGGACAAUGGGCGAAAGCCUGAUCCAGCCAUGCCGCGUGAGUGAAGAAGGCCCUAGGGUUGUAAAGCUCUUUCAGCGGGGACGAUAAUGACGGUACCCGCAGAAGAAGUCCCGGCUAACUUCGUGCCAGCAGCCGCGGUAAUACGAAGGGGACUAGCGUUGUUCGGAAUUACUGGGCGUAAAGCGCGCGUAGGCGGACGCUUAAGUCAGGGGUGAAAUGCCAGGGCUCAACCUUGGAAUUGCCUUUGAUACUGAGUGUCUGGAGUUCGGGAGAGGUGAGUGGAAUUCCGAGUGUAGAGGUGAAAUUCGUAGAUAUUCGGAGGAACACCAGAAGCGAAGGCGGCUCACUGGCCCGAUACUGACGCUGAGGCGCGAAAGCGUGGGGAGCAAACAGG